rnacentral:rRNA from 1 species
GACGAACGCUGGCGGCGUGCUUAACACAUGCAAGUCGAACGGUAAGGCCCUUCGGGGUACACGAGUGGCGAACGGGUGAGUAACACGUGGGUGAUCUGCCCUGCACUUCGGGAUAAGCCUGGGAAACUGGGUCUAAUACCGGAUAGGACUCCUGCCUGCAUGGGUGGGGGUGGAAAGCUUUUGCGGUGUGGGAUGGGCCCGCGGCCUAUCAGCUUGUUGGUGGGGUGAUGGCCUACCAAGGCGACGCCGGGUAGCCGGCCUGUGAGGGUGACCGGGCACACUGGGACUGGGAUACGGCACAGACACCUGCGGGAGGCAGCGGUGGGGAAUAUUGCGCAAUGGGCGCGAGCCUGAUGCAGCGACGCCGCGUGAGGGAUGACGGCCUUCGGGUUGUAAACCUCUUACAGCACAGACGAAGCGCAAGUGACGGUAUGUGCAGAAGAAGGACCGGCCAACUACGUGCCAGCCGCCGCGGUAA